AACGAACGCUGGCGGCGUGGAUAAGACAUGCAAGUGGGACGCUAAUUAGCAGGUAGCAAUAUUUGCUGGUUGGAGUCGCGUAAGGGUGCGUAACACGUGGGUAAUUUGCCGCGAAGCUCGGAAUAACCUGCCGAAAGGCAAGCUAAUACCGAAUGUGACUGGUGCUGGGCAUCUGGCAUCAGUCAAAGCCGGGGACCGUAAGGCCUGGCACUUCGCGAUAAGCCCGCGGCCUAUCAGCUAGUUGGUGGGGUAACGGCUCACCAAGGCUUAGACGGGUAGCUGGUCUUAGAGGACGACCAGCCACACUGGAACUGAGACACGGUCCAGACACCUACGGGAGGCAG
rnacentral:rRNA from 1 species